rnacentral:misc_RNA from 1 species
GAUGAAGAACGUAGUGAAAUGCGAUAAGUAAUGUGAAUUGCAGAAUUCAGUGAAUCAUCGAAUCUUUGAACGCACAUUGCGCCCCUUGGUAUUCCGAGGGGCAUGCCUAUUCGAGCGUCAUUAUCACCCCUCAAGCCUAGCUUGGUGUUGAGACCUGCUGUCAAGGCAGUCUCUAAAAUCAGUGGCAGUGCUGUCAGGCUCUAAGCGUAGUAAUUCUUCUCGCUAUGGAGUCCUGGUGGAUGCUUGCCAUCAACCCCCAAUUUUUCUAUGGUUGACCUCGGAUCAGGUAGGGAUACCCGCUGAACUUAAGCAUAUCAAUAAGCGGAGGA